ACUUUUUUAGUAUAAAAAAUAUAUUUGACUUCCAAUCAAAAGAUCUUUAAACAUAAGAAAAAGUA
rnacentral:tRNA from 1 species